CCUGCCCCAAGGUGUCUGCGCUGUGUCCUCUGCCCCCAGAUAUGUAGGUGGCUCAGUUUCUAACUUCAUCAGGAUUUCUGCUCAAAUGAAGCCUCAGGAAGUUCUUUCUAACACAGCAAACCCACUCCUGUUGCUUUAUUUUCUUUUUGCAAUGCUUAUCACCACCUUUUAUGUAUUUACUUAAAAUUUACUUGAAAAAAGACAUCAUGUAUUUACUUGAAUGCAGUACUUUAUUUUGGUAAUCCUUUUAUCAUAAAUGCAUAAAAAAUGCUUGGCAUAUCAAAACACUGUUGCAUGAAUUCUCAAUAUGCUCUAUGUUCCAUGCUCUUAGCCCCUCUUCCUCUACUUGAUAAAAAUCAUACUUACCCUUCAAAGCUUAGUUCAAAUGAGUCUAUUCCUGCUAUCCCCUCCACUGCAUCACCAUAAACUUCAUUAUACCUCUAGUCUAGCAUUUAUCUCUUUCUGUCUCCUAUGACAUUGACUUGUGUACAAGCCUCUUCUCUUUAUUAGGCAGAAAGCUCUACGGGGACCAAGACUGAUUUGUUGCUACAUUAGUUCCCCCAUCUGUGGUGUUGCCUUCUGAGGUUUCAGUUAUGCAUGCUGGCUCAUGAUGGCUUGUUUCUCUGUAUAAUUUUUAACUGGAGGCCUACUGAUAAGGGGAGGAAAGUGCAAUCACUCACUCUUUAAUCAUUCUAUACAUGCAUGCAUACAUGCAUCAAAAGGAAGUUCCCUAAAGGAUUCAUAUUUGAAGCUGUACUUUAUUUACUACAAAAACCUGUUAAACAUCAGUUAUCAAACUAUGACAUACAUUUCUAGUGAGGGAUUUGUCUGAAUAAGGUGUACAUGCCCCAAGCGUGGUGAUGCCUCCAGUAUGACUCCACGCGCGGAUACAUCACAUCAGCAGCCCCAGGAACAAAGGAUGACAGUGCAUUUAGCAGAAAGUUCUAGUUCUUUUUAAUCAAAAAAAAGGAAAAAGAGGUUUCUCAAGAUGAAUGUUUAUUAACACCCUGCUUUAACUACACAAGCUCUGGAGAUGAUUUAUAAUAAAUGUGUAACUCAAAAUUAUAAAAUAAAAUAGAAUAUUGAAAUCAUGGAAACCAUCAAUCAGAACAGAUCAAGAACAGAGAAAAAAGGAACAGUGAAAUAAAAGUUCUCAACAGCUGAGAACAGCAUUUAUAUGAAAUGCCAACUUACCUACUUCUGCAGAAUACAGACCUACUGGGAAGACUGAGUAAAAAGCACACUAGAAUGGUAAUUCUAAUGCAGUACAUACGAGGGAUGACAUGAAUGACUGCGAGACCCUACAUCAAAGGAAAGCCAAACCAAGCAAGACUGAGACUGCUUCUGUGCUAGAAAAAAAAUAUAAAUUUCUAAAUGGC